UUUCUCCUUCAGCAGCACAUAUACUAAAAUUGGAACCAUACAGAGAUUAGCAUAGCCCUUGUGCAAGGUAACAUGGAAAUUUGUGAAGAGUAAUUAUAUUAA